rnacentral:rRNA from 1 species
GACGGGGGAUGCAAGUGUUAUCCGGAAUCACUGGGCGUAAAGGGCGCGUAGGCGGCCAUUCAAGUCGGGGGUGAAAGCCUGUGGCUCAACCACAGAAUUGCCUUCGAUACUGAUCGACUCGAAGGCAGGAGAGGGUAGUGGAAUUCCCGGUGUAGUGGUGAAAUGCGUAGAUAUCGGGAGGAACACCAGUGGCGAAGGCGACUACCUGGCCUGUUCUUGACGCUGAGGCGCGAAAGCUAGGGGAGCAAACGGG